rnacentral:lncRNA from 1 species
GAAUGCUUCAACUCUGGAGUUUCGUAGGGAGAUGGUGCUGGAGUAUAAAAACUGGCAAAUGUAGCCUCAGCUCCAAAGGAUUGAACUUGAGAAGAUCCAACCAGUCUGUCAAAGGAGUAACAAAUUUGCAAAGGCUCCUGAUGCCUCCAAGGAGUGAAGAGAUUUGCUCAAGGCCAGCCCAGCACCUAGUUUAUUACAGAACUAGAAUUAGAACCCGGGUUUUAUGAAGUCUCAGGCAAGCAAGAGCUCUUCAACGUCAGAAUGCUUCCUCCCGUUCUCCAGUAAUGAUUAUGAAACAUACAUUUCUCUUUGAUUCCCAGAAAUUUCCCCCUAUGGCUAACACAGUUUUACUUGAUAUGUGAGAACAUAGCACAAAAUAAAAGUUGCAUUGAGUCACAG